rnacentral:sRNA from 1 species
UGAUUCCAUCGUACCUAUCCGCCAUUGC